AGAGUUUGAUCAUGGCUCAGAACGUACGCUGGCGGCACGCCUAACACAUGCAAGUCGAACGAAGUAGCAAUACUUAGUGGCAGACGGGUGAGUAACAUGUAGGUAUCUGCCCUUUGGCCUGGAAUAACACGAGGAAACUUGUGCUAAUACCGGAUAAGUCUUUACGGAGAAAGCUUUAUGCACCAUUGGAUGAGCCUGCACUUGAUUAGUUUGUUGGUGGGGUAAUGGCCUACCAAGACUGUGAUCAAUAGCUGAUUUGAGAGGAUGAUCAGCCACAUUGGGACUGAGACACGGCCCAAACUCCUACGGGAGGCAGCAGUGGGGAAUCUUGCACAAUGGAGGAAACUCUGAUGCAGCGAUGCCGCGUGAGUGAAGAAGGCCUUUGGGUUGUAAAGCUCUUUCGUCGGGGAAGAAAAUGACUGUACCCGAAUAAGAAGGUCCGGCUAACUUCGUGCCAGCAGCCGCGGUAAUACGAAGGGACCUAGCGUAGUUCGGAAUUACUGGGCUUAAAGAGUUCGUAGGUGGUUGAAAAAGUUAGUGGUGAAAUCCCAGAGCUUAACUCUGGAACUGCCAUUAAAACUUUUCAGCUAGAGUAUGAUAGAGGAAAGCAGAAUUUCUAGUGUAGAGGUGAAAUUCGUAGAUAUUAGAAAGAAUACCGAUUGCGAAGGCAGCUUUCUGGAUCAUUACUGACACUGAGGAACGAAAGCAUGGGUAGCGAAGAGGAUUAGAUACCCUCGUAGUCCAUGCCGUAAACGAUGUGUGUUAGACGUUGGAAAUUUAUUUUCAGUGUCGCAGGAAAACCGAUAAACACACCGCCUGGGGAGUACGACCGCAAGGUUAAAACUCAAAUGAAUUGACGGGGACCCGCACAAGUAGUGGAGCAUGUGGUUUAAUUCGAAGAUACGCGCAGAACCUUACCAACACUUGACAUGUUCGUCGCGACUUUAAGAGAUUAGAGUUUUCGGUUCGGCCGGACGAAACACAGGUGCUGCAUGGCUGUCGUCAGCUCGUGUCGUGAGAUGUUGGGUUAAGUCCCGCAACGAGCGCAACCCUCACUUUUAGUUGCCAUCAUUAAGUUGGGCACUCUGAAAGAACUGCCAGUGAUAAGCUGGAGGAAGGUGGGGAUGACGUCAAGUCCUCAUGGCCCUUACGUGUUGGGCUACACACGUGCUACAAUGGUAUUUACAACAGGAAGCAAAACUGCGAAGUUAAGCAAAUCCCUAAAAGAUACCUCAGUUCGGAUUGCACUCUGCAACUCGAGUGCAUGAAGCUGGAAUUACUAGUAAUCGUGGAUCAGCGUGCCACGGUGAAUGCGUUCCCGGGUCUUGUACACACCGCCCGUCACACCAUGGGAGUUGGUUCUACCUUAAGGCAAGGUUUCAAACCCUUGACCACGGUAUAGUCAGCGACUGGGGUGAAGUCGUAACAAGGUAGCCGUAGGGGAACCUGCGGCUG
rnacentral:rRNA from 1 species